GCACUGGUGAUUCAGUGGUAGAAUUCUCGCCUUCUGUGCAGGAGACUGGGGUUCCAUUGCCGGCCAGUGCG
rnacentral:tRNA from 1 species